rfam:Myotis davidii contig31252, whole genome shotgun sequence.
UGCGGUUCUCGGGUGACGCACCCCAGAAUUGGACUCCCUCCUCUCUGGUGCAUCACCCAAGAACUGCC